rnacentral:misc_RNA from 1 species
GAUGAAGAACGUAGCGAAAUGCGAUAAGUAAUGUGAAUUGCAGAAUUCAGUGAAUCAUCGAAUCUUUGAACGCAUCUUGCGCUCCUUGGUAUUCUGAGGAGCAUGCCUGUUUGAGUGUCAUUAAAUUCUCAACUACACUGACUUUGAAUUGGUGUGGCUUGGAUUUGGGGGGAAAAUUGUUGUGGGCUUUUUGUAUAGUCUGCUCCCCUGAAAUCGAUUAGCGGUACCUUUGUGGAACUGUCUACAGGUGUGAUAAUUAUCUACAUCUUAGACAUCUGCUGGAAUGCUGCUUUCUAAACCUUACUUGUAUUGACAAUCUUGACCUCAAAUCAGGUAGGACUACCCGCUGAACUUAAGCAUAUCAAUAAGCGGAGGA